CCUACGGGAGGCUGCAGUGGGGAAUAUUGCACAAUGGGCGCAAGCCUGAUGCAGCCAUGCCGCGUGUGUGAAGAAGGCCUUCGGGUUGUAAAGCACUUUCAGCGGGGAGGAAGGCGUUAAGGUUAAUAACCUUGGCGAUUGACGUUACCCGCAGAGGAAGCACCGGCUAACUCCGUGCCAGCAGCCGCGGUAAUACGGAGGGUGCAAGCGUUAAUCGGAAUUACUGGGCGUAAAGCGCACGCAGGCGGUCUGUCAAGUCGGAUGUGAAAUCCCCGGGCUCAACCUGGAAACUGCAUUCGAAACUGGCAGGCUAGAGUCUUGUAGAGGGGGGUAGAAUUCCAGGUGUAGCGGUGAAAUGCGUAGAGAUCUGGAGGAAUACCGGUGGCGAAGGCGGCCCCCUGGACAAAGACUGACGCUCAGGUGCGAAAGCGUGGGGAGCAAACAGGAUUAGAUACCCGAGUAGUC
rnacentral:rRNA from 1 species